rnacentral:rRNA from 1 species
UGGCUUGACAUCCCACGAACCUGCCCGAAAAGGUGGGGUGCCCGCAAGGGAGCGUGGAGACGGGUGGUGCAUGGCUGUCGUCAGCUCGUGUCGUGAGAUGUUGGGUUAAGUCCCGCAACGAGCGCAACCCUCACCCCUAGUUGCCACCGGGUUAAGCCGAGCACUCAAGGGGAACUGCCAGCGUCAAGCUGGAGGAAGGCGGGGAUGACGUCAAGUCAUCAUGCCCCUUACGCCCUGGGCUACACACGUGCUACAAUGGCCAGCACAAAGGGACGCGAGACUGCGAAGUGGAGCUAAUCCCAAAAAGCUGGUCUAAGUUCAGAUUGCAGUCUGCAACUCGACUGCAUGAAGGAGGAAUCGCUAGUAAUCGCGCAUCAGCCCGGCGCGGUGAAUACGUUCCCGGGCCUUGUACACACCGCCCGUCACACCACGAAAGCUGUCUGUACUCGAAGUCGCUGAG